AUACCAUGAUGAAGGGAUUUUCAUAAAAAUUAAUUAAAUCAUUCCCAAGCAUCAUACAAGGACUCGUCCUCAGAUUGUUAAAAAGUAGUAAUUUCAUUUUUGAGCUU
rfam:Gossypium hirsutum cultivar TM-1 chromosome 25, whole genome shotgun sequence